AUACAUCUGUCAGUAGCAGUACCCGAAAGGAUCUUUUCUAUAAAUUGCUUCCUUCCAUUCAGCCAGCGGAAACUUCUGUGAAUUGGCUGACCUAUUUGUCACAUUAUUCUAUGACAAAUGGCAUGUGGAAACUUAAAGAAUCACAAGAAUAGUAACAAAAUAUUUUUCUUUGUAUUAGUUCCUACCUAGUUCAUCUUUAUAUACUAUUUAUUAUAAAACAAUUAUGGUGAAAAGCUAUUCCUUCUAAGUUAUUUUAUAAAAAUACGCCUCCUAAUUACUCGGAGCAUUUAAUAGGUUAGUACAGAAGAAGUGGAGAUGUUGAAGAGAGCAUUUAUUAAUCCCACAAUGCUCUAUUCAUAUGGCAUAGUUUUGAGAGGCGAUAAAUUCACUUUUGUAAAAGUUGAAAAGGAGGCUAUAUUAGGAAGAAAAGUUGAUGAGUCCUGUCUUAUAGUGCAACUGGAUCAAGGUAUCCUCAUUUGCAUCUAUGGCUCAAGUCUAUUAACAAAAGAUAUUUACAAGCACUUUAUUGAAAUUUAUGAGAAAUAUAACAGAGCUUAAUCACUUUAUCAAUAAAAAUGGGUCUCAGUUGAUUAUGACGGGAGAGAAAUGAGGAUAAAAU